UACGUAGGGUGCAAGCGUUAAUCGGAAUUACUGGGCGUAAAGCGUGCGCAGGCGGUUUUGUAAGACAGGCGUGAAAUCCCCCGGCUCAACCUGGGAAUGGCGCUUGUGACUGCAAAGCUGGAGUGCGGCAGAGGGGGAUGGAAUUCCGCGUGUAGCAGUGAAAUGCGUAGAUAUGCGGAGGAACACCGAUGGCGAAGGCAAUCCCCUGGGCCUGCACUGACGCUCAUGCACGAAAGCGUGGGGAGCAAACAGG
rnacentral:rRNA from 1 species